UGGGGAAUAUUGCGCAAUGGGGGAAACCCUGACGCAGCAACGCCGCGUGAGUGAGGAAGGUUUUCGGACCGUAAAUCUCUGUCGAGCGGGAAGAAAUGCAUGGUGGCUAAUAUCAAUCAUGCUUGACGGUACCGCUAAAGGAAGCACCGGAUAACUCCGUGCAAGAAGCCGCGGUAAUACGGGGGGUGCGAGCGUUGUUCGGAAUUGUUGGGCGUAAAGAGUGUGUAGGCGGCUGAAUAAGUCAGAUGUGAAAUCCCUGGGCUUAACCCAGGACCUGCAUUUGAAACUAUUCGGCUAGAGUAGUGGAGAUGAAAGUGGAAUUCCUGGUGUAGAGGUGAAAUUCGUAGAUAUCAGGAGGAACACCGGUGGCGAAGGCGACUGUCUGGACCUAUACUGACGCUGAGACGCGAGAGCGUGGGUAGCAAACA
rnacentral:rRNA from 1 species